CUCGUGCCAAAAUCCACUUCCGGGCCAUGUUGUCACUCCAGUAAUGUGUUCAUGUUUUGUAAACUCCGUAAACUGAGCCUGGACUAUGAUCUGUGCAGAAUGAACAUAUUAUGAAAACAGGUACAAAAAGGUAAAGGGGUGUGUCAACUGGAUUUGAGGUGUGAAAGA